rnacentral:sRNA from 1 species
UAACGUAAACCGAGCCGACCGAUCUGU